AACGAACGCUGGCGGCAUGCCUAACACAUGCAAGUCGAACGAUACCUUCGGGUCUAGUGGCGCACGGGUGCGUAACGCGUGGGAACCUGCCUUUAAGUUCGGAAUAACUCAGAGAAAUUUGAGCUAAUACCGGAUAAUGUCUUCGGACCAAGGAUUUAUCGCCUUUAGAUGGGCCCGCGUUGGAUUAGCUAGUUGGUGGGGUAAAGGCCUACCAAGGCGACGAUCCAUAGCUGGUCUGAGAGGAUGAUCAGCCACACUGGGACUGAGACACGGCCCAGACUCCUCCGGGAGGCAGCAGUGGGGAAUAUUGGACAAUGGGCGAAAGCCUGAUCCAGCAAUGCCGCGUGAGUGAUGAAGGCCUUAGGGUUGUAAAGCUCUUUUACCCGAGAUGAUAAUGACAGUAUCGGGAGAAUAAGCUCCGGCUAACUCCGUGCCAGCAGCCGCCGUAA
rnacentral:rRNA from 1 species